UACGGGGGGGCAAGCGUUGUUCGGAAUUACUGGGCGUAAAGGGCUUGUAGGUGGCCAACUAAGUCAGACGUGAAAUCCCUCGGCUUAACCGGGGAACUGCGUCUGAUACUGGAUGGCUUGAGUUCGGGAGAGGGAUGCGGAAUUCCAGGUGUAGCGGUGAAAUGCGUAGAUAUCUGGAGGAACACCGGUGGCGAAGGCGGCAUCCUGGACCGAUACUGACGCUGAGGAGCGAAAGCCAGGGGAGCAAACGGG
rnacentral:rRNA from 1 species